rnacentral:tRNA from 1 species
UGUGGCAGAAAAGUGCAAUAAAUUUAAAAUUUAUAUAUAAAGAACAUCUUUCUUUAGA